rnacentral:rRNA from 1 species
CAGAAAGACCCUAUGCAGCUUUACUGUAAGCUGGUAUUGUGUUCUGAUUAUUAAUGCGCAGCGUAGGUGGGAGACUUUGAAGCGGCACUUUAGGGUGUCGUGGAGUCGCAAUGUGAGACACCACUCUUUUUUAAUUAGAGCUCUAACCCUGAUUCCUGUUAGCCAGGCAGGGGACAGUGCCUGCGGGUCAGUUUGACUGGGGCGGUUUCCUCCCAAAUAGUAACGGAGGAGCACUAAGGUACCCUCAGCACGGUUGGCAACCGUGCGUCGAGCGCAUGAGUAUAAGGGUGCUUAACUGCGAGACCUACAAGUCGAGCAGGUGCGAAAGCAGGUUCAAGUGAUCCGGCGGUAGAAAAUGGAAUUGCCGUCGCUCAACGGACAAAAGGUACGCUAGGGAUAACAGGCUGA